UUGCCACUAGCACGAGGAUGCUUCUUGCCAUGUGACCGCAAUAUUGAAGGAACGCUUUGUAAAGUGCUUGGACGGUCUGGUAGACAUAGCCAUGCACCCAGGCUCUGCCGUGUUCAAAAGGGAAUCCUUGGCCUCCUCCAGACCAAGGAAUACUUUGUUCUUUGGUGAGCUGCAGCCUGGCCAGGACCUGAAUCUGGACAAAGGUCAUCUGAUAUUCCCUCUGUAGAGAAACAGCUCAUGUCACUUCAUGGAACUCAUUCACAGGUUCUUCAGUUGUGAAUUCAACCAAUACCUGGACGUUGGCUCAAUCAGCAGAAGUGGAACAAGGGAAAUUACAAUGCCAACUAUAAGAAUUGUUGUGAGGUGUCCCAAGGGUCCAGAAUCUGGCUGGAGAUUGCUUGU